ensembl:lncRNA
GGAGAAGUUGUUUCACACAACAGAAGGAAAAGUGCUCUGUGUGUAUUUUGAGUUGGUUUGGAAGAUGCUGAGGUUAAACACUGGGUGGGUAAGAUGGCUCUACCUUUGCCCCCAUUGCUGCGAGCAGUGGUGCAGGCGAUUGUUAGCUAACACCACAGAAAUGGAAUAUGAAGUGUUUGAGAUGCGACAGCACUCUGGCAAGCCUCUGCUGGGAUGGGGCGCAGUGUGCGAGUGCUGAGAGGAGAAAGGAAAGAGAGAGAGGAGAGCGGAGGAGGAGGUGAGGGAGACACUAGGAUCUGUACUGUUAGG